CCCAUCUCAGGGUUGCACCUGGAGAGUUUCUGGUAUUCUACCAGUCUCAACUUUGGGAGGGAGAGACAAGCAUAUUCAUUCCAUUCCUAGCUUGGCCAAUGGCUAGUGACUGGAAGAAAAUCUGCUACAAGC